CAUGUGAUAACCAUGAUAGGAUAUUUUUAACAACAAUGGGAUGGCAUACAUGAUCUGAACAAGGACACCUAAUUUACUGCAAUAGUAUAUAAUAAAAGUACAGUAAUGACGAAAGCUAAAAUUGGAGGGACAGACUUUAAUUUGAUAUGGUUGACGCCUGUAAGGAGCACUGCAAGCUGAUUCGCAGAAAAGUAAUCUUAAGAAAUUCCACUUGAAGUUGGGACC
rnacentral:lncRNA from 1 species